ensembl:lncRNA LINC01217 long intergenic non-protein coding RNA 1217
AUUGUCAGUAACGUGAGGACUAAAACAGAGCAAAUGUCACCUUGUCCCUGCAUCAGCUCCAGAAAGGGUGGUGGAUUAGAGGCUUUUAGCAUACCUCAGCCACUCGGAAAUAGCAUAAAAAUUAACUCCAUGAGCUUUAAUUCAAGAAGAAAAACAGGAAUCCACCAGAAUCAUGAAGGAUGUCCCAAAUCCCAGGGAGGAGAACAUGGGAGAAAAGCACCAGUGAUGGUGUCCAGCUGAUAAAACUGAGCAAAGUCCUAUAUACGAUAGGCAGAGAGCCUCCCUGUGUGAUUCACUUUUCCACUGGGGAUCUGAGCAACAUAGGCCAAGGGGGAAUACUUUGUUUCUCUCAAGACCUAGAGCUAAAUUGGGAAGAUGCUUGGAAAUGCUCAGAGGGAAAAACACCAGGAAAAGCUGCAGGCACUUUUCUAGACCAAGAGCAGGAUGACAUUUUUAAUCUAACUGCAUAGAAAGUCAGUCAUUUCUUGGCGACCUGGCAGCAUGCCAUGCAGGCAGUUUAAUCUCGAGUCAGAGAUUGGAGUUGUUCGCUCUGGAGUGGAGU